AUUGAACGCUGGCGGCAGGCUUAACACAUGCAAGUCGAGCGGGGUGAUGGUGCUUGCACUAUCACCUAGCGGCGGACGGGUGAGUAAUGCUUAGGAAUCUGCCUAUUAGUGGGGGACAACAUUUCGAAAGGAAUGCUAAUACCGCAUACGUCCUACGGGAGAAAGCAGGGGAUCUUCGGACCUUGCGCUAAUAGAUGAGCCUAAGUCGCGAUUAGCUAGUUGGUGGGGUAAAGGCCUACCAAGGCGACGAUCUGUAGCGGGUCUGAGAGGAUGAGCCGCCAAACUGGGACUGAGACACGGCCCAGACUCCUACGGGAGGCAGCAGUGGGGAAUAUUGGACAAUGGGCGCAAGCCUGAUCCAGCCAUGCCGCGUGUGUGAAGAAGGCCUUAUGGUUGUAAAGCACUUUAAGCGAGGAGGAGGCUACUUUAGAUAAUACCUAGAGAUAGUGGACGUUACUCGCAGAAUAAGCACCGGCUAACUCUGUGCCAGCCGCCGCGGUAAGAC
rnacentral:rRNA from 1 species